rnacentral:lncRNA from 1 species
AACCCUUUCGCCCCGACUGCCCGAUUUAUCGGGCAGCAUAAACCGUGUCCCAGGACCCGGCUGCCCGAAAAAUCGGGCGGCUAUUGUCCAAGCCCCACACACGGCUGCCCGAUAAAUCGGGCGGCGCGACCGUGUUUACAAAAUCGCUCUUUCAACUUCCUUUCUCGUGUGUAAUCUCGUUCUAAAUAUGGAAACGAGAUUUACACGUGAUUGACACGUCAUUCGAUGGAAUUUCCCAGUCUUUUUGGCGCGAAAAUCGCGAAUGUCACCUGUUUUCGCGACAGGUAUUUUUCUCGCUUGAAUCGUAAAUCUAGCGUAAUGGCGGCCAACUACGAUUCGGAUAGCGAUCAGAUGACUAACAACGACUCUAUCGGGAAUAAUAAUGUGUUUGAUUUGAAUAAUUUACGUGAAGGGGAGAGGGAAUUUCGUGAAGAUUUUGGUGAAGAUUUUGACGGUUUCGACGAGGUGUCCCCCCCCCCCCCCCCCCCCCCCCGCCAACUUUCAAGAAUGGGAGUGGCAGAGGGACCACAACGGUGGAGACAUGAGGGAUUUUGAAGAGGCGACCGGACUCAAGAAUAUAUAUUGACACGGUGAGUGAAAUAUCGUGCUAUUGAUUUUUUCCAACUGUUUUACAAUAAUUCUGUGUUUGAACAGAUUAUCAGUGCGACGAAUGAGAAUGCAGCCUACAGGUGAACGAGCGAUCACAACAACAACAAAGAUCAAUCUGUGAUAUCUUCUCUGUGAUGUCAUUCUUAUAGUAGCUGUGGUUCAAUGUUCAGAUGUGCAUGAAGAGAAUUUACCUGUAACACCUGGGAUUACCUGUGCCGUCC